AUGUACAUGACAUUUAUUUUCAUUUCCAUUCCCAAUAUUUCUUAUGAUCAGUUUUUCCUUUCUGCUGUUGAAUUGUUGAAUCCUUCUGUCUUGAAAGGCAAGGAAAACGGUCCAGGCGUGAAGAUAUGGAACUCUGAGUUGCCGGGGCAUCAGAGUUUCCCUCUCAGCCUUUGUGUAACCCAAAGGAGUGUAAACAUGACAUGUGGCACCAGGUUGACUGCAGAAGCUGCUGGAGAGAUGACCUGUGGUCCGUCUAAAUACCUUUGGGGCUCCACAGCUGCUUACAGGCAUUUGGACUUGGUUUAGAGUGGACUUGUACACCAUCCUGAUACCUUUCACCAUAAGGCUUAUAUACCCCUAAAUAAUAUUUUUUUNAAAAAAAAGUCCCUGUCUUUCUUUGUUAACAGUAACACAGAACUCUGAAUGAUAUUUAGCAUUGGCUAAACUGAUGGAUUCAAACCUUUUAACUGAUGCACUCAUUUCCCCCCUAAACUAGCACAUAUAGUUAAACUUUUCUUCCCCGUGCCUAACAAGCUUCUGUCAGAUCACUUCAGGAAAAAAGACAAUGUGUUCAUGAUAAAUAUUGUAAAGGUAUGAAUCAGUACUAAAUUAAAGAGUAAAAAUCUGCCAGGUUCUCACUAUAACUUGGUUGUUAUUGGUAUGAAAAAGACACAGUUGGUUCCUGACUCAUAUAAUAGAGAGCUUAACAUCCUGAGCUGAAAAUCCCAUCUGCACAGCUUGCAAAUGCUAACUUUUCUUAAGUGGGAGGAAUAUUGAAUGGUAGUAUUCAAAACAGCACUGCCACCUGUCAUUUCCUGGAGUUCAAUUUAGUGAACAAAUGGAGAGAACCAAGGUUCUAAAACUGGAGGAAAUGCUGCUUCGCCAUUAAAGAAAAUUUCUGCCAUUGCUUGUUAUCAACUUUUCAAAGCUUUUACACCUUUCUGCCCCAAGCUGCCCUUGUUAGCAUGCAUCAAGCAACACAAACAGCAUCAACCCUGCUUCCCAUUUUUGAGGUUUUCCACUCUGCCUAAAGAACAUGCUGAUUCUGGGUUACGUUGGAGAUAGUUAUUUUAAUGGAGAAUCAUGACUCGGUACUUUAAAACUGCACUCACUGUUAACAUGCCACAAUUUCAGUACUCAAAUAUAUUAUGCUAGCUGUACCUGGCCACGCAUUGCUGUGGCUCAGUCUGGUUAAAUGGAAAAGAAAGAAAAGAGAAAGCGCACGUUUCGAAUAUGUUUAAUUUCACAAUGCUUGUGGGUAUACAAUAUUUUUUGUUGUUCCAUUGUCUGUGCCGAUAUAGAGAUUGUCUGGUUUGCCGACUCUAGAACACGCAACAUAUAAUUGUCCAUGUGAGAAGCAAUCCGUGUCUAGAUCUAAACCGCACAAUUCUAAAGAUUGGCCCUGAGUUGCUUUUACGUCCAGCAGAUGGCGCUGUUUUUCAAAAAAACCCUGUUUUUACCUGUCACAGGUGUGACAUCUAGAUAAUCUAGGUAUAUAAAAAGGAGUCGAAUGCAACCUUGUGUCAUAAUUUGAAAGCACUCGGUGAAGAACUUUCGGAGAUUAGCAAUUUUGAACAAACGAACAUUUACAUUUUUAUUUAUAUAGACUAGCUGUACCCGGCCACGCGUUGCUGUGGCUCAGUCUGGUUAAAUGGAAAAGAAAGAAAAGAGAAAGCGCACGUUUCGAAUAUGUUUAAUUUCACAAUGCUUGUGGGUAUACAAUAUUUUUUGUUGUUCCAUUGUCUGUGCAGAUAGAGAGAUUGUCUGGUUUGCCGACUCUAGAACACGCAACAUAUAAUUGUCCAACACAGCUCAAUUCCAACGCAAUGUCACAUGAAAUAAUUAAAUCAAAAUAAAAGUAAAUCGAAAUCUAUGAAAAUUCA
rnacentral:lncRNA from 1 species